GAUGAAUGCUGGCGGCGUGCCUAACACAUGCAAGUCGAGCGGCAGCGCGAGUAGUUUACUACUUGGCGGCGAGCGGCGGACGGCUGAGUAACGCGUGGGAACGUACCCCAAAGUGAGGAAUAACUGCCCGAAAGGGUGGCUAAUGCCGCAUAUGGUCUUCGGAUUAAAGGAUUAUCCGCUUGGAACGGGCCUGCGUACGAUUAGAUAGUUGGUGAGGUAAUGGCUCACCAAGUCUACGAUCGUUAACUGGUCUGAGAGGAUGAUCAGUCAGACUGGAACUGAGACACGGUCCAGACUCCUACGGGAGGCAGCAGUGAGGAAUCUUCCACAAUGGGCGGAAAGACCUGAUGGAGCAACGCCGCGUGCAGGAUGAAGGCCU
rnacentral:rRNA from 1 species